rnacentral:rRNA from 1 species
UUAAAUUGAAGAGUUUGAUCAUGGCUCAGAUUGAACGCUGGCGGCAGGCCUAACACAUGCAAGUCGAACGGUAACAGGAAGCAGCUUGCUGCUUCGCUGACGAGUGGCGGACGGGUGAGUAAUGUCUGGGAAACUGCCUGAUGGAGGGGGAUAACUACUGGAAACGGUAGCUAAUACCGCAUAAUGUCGCAAGACCAAAGAGGGGGACCUUCGGGCCUCUUGCCAUCGGAUGUGCCCAGAUGGGAUUAGCUAGUAGGUGGGGUAACGGCUCACCUAGGCGACGA